GUUCCUACGGGGGGCAGCAGUGGGGAAUAUUGCACAAUGGGGGAAACCCUGAUGCGGCGACGCCGCGUGAAGGAAGAAGUAUCUCGGUAUGUAAACUUCUAUCAGCAGGGAAGAAAAUGACGGUACCUGACUAAGAAGCUCCGGCUAAAUACGUGCCAGCAGCCGCGGUAAUACGUAUGGAGCAAGCGUUAUCCGGAUUUACUGGGUGUAAAGGGAGCGCAGGCGGCCUGCUAAGUCUGGAGUGAAAGGUACCGGCUCAACCGGUACAGGCUCUGGAAACUGGCGGGCUAGAGCAGGAGAGGGCG
rnacentral:rRNA from 1 species